CAUAACAACAAUUGUAAGUCGCUCUGGAUAAGAGCGUCUGCUAAAUGACUUAAA
rfam:Salmo salar isolate Sally breed double haploid chromosome ssa15, whole genome shotgun sequence.